rnacentral:rRNA from 1 species
CCUACGGGAGGCAGCAGUGAGGAAUAUUGGUCAAUGGGAGAGAUCCUGAACCAGCCAAGCCGCGUGAGGGAAGACGGCCCUAUGGGUUGUAAACCUCUUUUGUCGGAGAACAAAACCCGGGACGUGUCCCGGACUGCGUGUAUCCGAAGAAAAAGCAUCGGCUAACUCCGUGCCAGCAGCCGCGGUAAUACGGAGGAUGCGAGCGUUAUCCGGAUUUAUUGGGUUUAAAGGGUGCGUAGUGGGUCCGUUAAGUCAGCGGGAAAAUUGCGGGGCUAAACCCCGUCGAGCCGUUGAAACUGGCAGACUUGAGUUGGCGAGAAGUACGCGGAAUGCGCGGUGUAGCGGUGAAAUGCAUAGAUAUCGCGCAGAACUCCGAUUGCGAAGGCAGCGUACCGGCGCCAGACUGACGCUGAGGCACGAAAGCGUGGGGAUCGAACAGGAUUAGAUACCCCAGUAGUC